UACGAAGGGGGCUAGCGUUGCUCGGAAUCACUGGGCGUAAAGGGUGCGUAGGCGGGUCUUUAAGUCAGGGGUGAAAUCCUGGAGCUCAACUCCAGAACUGCCUUUGAUACUGAAGAUCUUGAGUUCGGGAGAGGUGAGUGGAACUGCGAGUGUAGAGGUGAAAUUCGUAGAUAUUCGCAAGAACACCAGUGGCGAAGGCGGCUCACUGGCCCGAUACGUGAACGCUGAGGCACGAAAGCGUGGGGAGCAAACAGG
rnacentral:rRNA from 1 species